rnacentral:misc_RNA from 1 species
CGGUCCACUCUUCGACUUUGGCCUCCGCUGAGGAUGUUGAAGAGACGUUUUCAGUGCACCAUCUCCAGAAACAGGACUAAAUAUCCACCUCUCAGCAUCCUCCCAUUUCGAUGGCAACGUCCUCCCAUUAUUGAAAGGCAAUAACGCAGCAUUUAUUUGGCGCCUAUUACCAUUGUUAUGCAAUGGCACUCGCUCCGAGCUCCAACC